CGCCACCGUUAAUGCGCGUCUACGUUGCGCAAAGAUAUCAAAAAAUGGUUCUAAUGAUAUAAAAAAUAACCUUAUUGUAAUAUUUUUUUAAACUUCUUUAAAAAUUAAAUAAAGAUGUUUAUCCAAUAUAUGACAUGUUGACUUAAUUGACCAAGUUGGCGUCUACAAGUGUCAUAAAUCGUUAUAAUCGACAAUCAGCUGAUUUACUUCUCAUCAUUGGCUGACUUCUCUAUAUCAUAUUGAGCUUGACAUUUAAAAAUCUGUAAUUCGAUCAUGGAAAGCCAACCAUUGAAUCCAGCAUAUGAUAAGCCACCACCUUAUUCAGUAGCUACAGCACCUCCAGCAUCUUCGUGGCAACCUCCUCCUGGUUAUUAUCCUAGUAAUGGAGCUCCUUACCAAAGUGCAUCUAUUCCGUCAUAUGGUACAACAACUACUGUUGUGGUACCAGAAAUAAUUUUUGUUGGCGCUUGUCCGGCAUGCAGAGUUGGUUUGUUAGAAGACGAUUAUACAUGUCUUGGAGUAUUAUGUGCUAUCUUCUUUUUUCCUUUUGGAAUCUUAUUUUGUUUAUUGAUGAAAAAUAAAAAAUGUUCCAACUGCGGAGCUCUGUUCAAUUAAACUAUCAAAGAGUUGGUUAGAAGAUGUGAUGAUAUAAUUUUUAUGAAUUUAUUACAAAUUAUGCCAACAAUGUUGAAAGAUUUAGUUUCAAGGUGAAACUAUGAUAUUUAUUAAUGACUUAUUCUAUGUUAAUAAAUAAGAUUACAGUUGAUGAAAUUUUAUGAUGAGGCAGUUAUAUUUUUUUGAAAGAUAGAAGUUUCAUAGAUCAAAUUUUAUUUUUUUAAGUAAAUAGUUGGAAAAAUUUUCUACAAAUUGAAAGCCACUGAAUAAAUGAUAGAUAAAAUACAGUGUGUAAAUAUAAUUUACAACAUAGAAAAAAUUUUUUAAUUUAAAAUGUUACAUUGUAAUUAAUAUGUGGCCGGUAAAUGUUACAUAUGUAAAUUAAAUCUGAUAAAUAUUUAUAAAAGAAUAUAAAUACAUAUAUUAUCGUGAAAAAAUUUUGAUAUAUAAAAAUAAUUGUUCUGAAUUACUUUGUUAUCACCCUUUCUUCUAGAUCAUUCAUAUUCUGCGUGAUCUUACAUGACAUUUAUUGCAUCCUAUUAGGUGAUAAUAGUGACAUGACGUUUACUAUUAUAUGUGAUUAAACUUUUGUUCUUUAAUGAAUGCAUAGUUGAUGAAUGAAUUUAAUGAUUUAAUGAUGACAACAAUGAAAUUUUUUAAUAAAAAUGAUCGCUGUGAUAAUUAUAGUAAAAAAGACGAUAGCAGUAUACGCUGAUCAUUAAUGAAAUUUAAUAUAAAAAUAAGAAAGAUCAUAGAUAAAG
rnacentral:misc_RNA from 1 species